rnacentral:miRNA from 1 species
ACCACUUGUGAAUCUCCAAC